rnacentral:lncRNA from 10 species
AAAAUAUAAGCCAGCAUUGUUUAUUAUUAAAUUCAACAUACAUAAAAUUACUCUGUCAAAGUGCUAUGAAAGUUUCUGAAUACUUACCCUGAUUUGUGAAUUUCUGCUAUUGUGGGCAGGUAGCAGUUUGUGGGUCAGCACCAGCCUAGGAUGAUGAUAGUGACCUCCUUAUGGAGGGCACAGUGACCUGCCUGAAGAUCUAUCCAGAGUGAGCAGCAAAGGAAGGACUUGAUCUCAGGUCUUCUCCCUCCAGGUCCAGGAGGUUUUUGAUCCUCCUGCAUCUUUGCCACUGCACCUACCUGAAACCUGUCUCUCUCCCUUCAGCCACAGCAGGAAGGUGUCCCUGAGGUGGGCAGUAGAUCUCUCUAGACACAGCAGUCAAGCUCCAAUUGAACACCUCUUGGAUUUGAAUGAAGUUCUAGGGUAAAGGGAUGAAGAGGUCAUGCCACCUCCCCCUACUCUUAGAAAUGGUCUCCAAAGGGGCAAAAGCAGUUCAGAAUCCAUCUUUGAUGAAACAUGGAGUAAGUGAAUGAGGGAGGGGCUUCCAAAGGCAGUGAAAGCCAUAUGAAUGCUAGGGGUAAAGGAAGACACCAGAGGGGACACCUGCCCACCUGCCUGUACAAAUCCCAGGCAAAGCGAGCACUUCUCCAGGGAAGGCAACAUAUCCUCAGGCCAAAACCCGGAAAUGCCUUGUUUAGAGGAAAGGGAAAAGGGUGGGUCGCCUGGUGGUGGGAACUUGCCUGAAGCUAGUUUGACGUGGAGAGAAAUAGUGGGAGUUUGAGUGGAUGGAGACACAUUGUAUAUGCAGUCAGCAGCCUGUUGUCAAGGUGGGGUAAGGAGAGAGACUGCACUAUGAGCAGCCGGCAGGAGCUGGCCUCUGCAAAGGAAAGGAACUAAGUGAAUGCUGAAACAGCCCCCAUCCCCAGUGUCUCACCUCAUAUGACCUUGUGAACAGAGAGGGGGUCUGCCAACCUCCAGUGAGGCCCCAGCCCUCAUCCCCAAACCUUCAGUGAAUAACUUUUCUCAAGGAGUAAGUUCUUAUUUGUUCACAGUCAGGAGGCACCACUGUAAAACAUCCCUUCUGAGUUAAAGGCUUCAGAUAUGCAGG